rnacentral:sRNA from 1 species
UAUCUCUCUGUACAGGGAAGGAUGAGAAUCUUCGAUUAAGGUUCGAUUCGAGCGCAGCGAGAGAACGUUGCCAACGGCAACGGCCCGAAGGGCGCGACGCGCCGAGUCAUCCUUCCCCCACCAUAA